rnacentral:rRNA from 1 species
UGGGGAAUAUUGGACAAUGGGGGCAACCCUGAUCCAGCCAUGCCGCGUGAGUGAUGAAGGCCUUAGGGUUGUAAACCUCUUUUCUCAAGGAAGAUAGUGACGGUACUUGGGGAAUCAGCAUCGGCUAACUCCGUGCCAGCAGCCGCGGUAAUACGGAGGAUGCAAGCGUUAUCCGGAAUAAUUGGGCGUAAAGCGUUCGUAGGUGGUUUUGUAAGUCUGCUGUUAAAGCGUGUAGCUCAACUACAUAUAGGCAGUGGAAACUACAAAACUUGAGUGCGUUCGGGGCAGAGGGAAUUCCUAGUGUAGCGGUGAAAUGCGUAGAGAUUAGGAAGAACACCGGUGGCGAAAGCGCUCUGCUAGGCCGCAACUGACACUGAGGGACGAAAGCUAGGGGAGCGAAUGGGAUUAGAUACCCGCGUAGUCC